rnacentral:rRNA from 1 species
GACGAACGCUGGCGGCGUGCUUAACACAUGCAAGUCGAACGGAAAGGCCCUGCUUUUGUGGGGUGCUCGAGUGGCGAACGGGUGAGUAACACGUGAGUAACCUGCCCUUGACUUUGGGAUAACUUCAGAAAACUGGGGCUAAUACCGGAUAGGAGCUCCUGCUGCAUGGUGGGGGUUGGAAAGUUUCGGCGGUUGGGGAUGGACUCGCGGCUUAUCAGCUUGUUGGUGGGGUAGUGGCUUACCAAGGCUUUGACGGGUAGCCGGCCUGAGAGGGUGACCGGCCACAUUGGGACUGAGAUACGGCCCAGACUCCUACGGGAGGCAGCAGUGGGGAAUAUUGCACAAUGGGCGGAAGCCUGAUGCAGCAACGCCGCGUGCGGGAUGACGGCCUUCGGGUUGUAAACCGCUUUCGCCUGUGACGAAGCGUGAGUGACGGUAAUGGGUAAAGAAGCACCGGCUAACUACGUGCCAGCAGCCGCGGUGAUACGUAGGGUGCGAGCGUUGUCCGGAUUUAUUGGGCGUAAAGGGCUCGUAGGUGGUUGAUCGCGUCGGAAGUGUAAUCUUGGGGCUUAACCCUGAGCGUGCUUUCGAUACGGGUUGACUUGAGGAACGUAGGGGAGAAUGGAUUCCCUGGUGGAGCGGUGGAAUGCGCAGAUAUCAGGAGGAACACCAGUGGCGAAGGCGGUUCUCUGGGCCUUUCCUGACGCUGAGGAGCGAAAGCGUGGGGAGCGAACAGGCUUAGAUACCCUGGUAGUCCACGCUGUAAACGGUGGGUACUAGGUGUGGGGUCCAUUCCACGGGUUCCGUGCCGUAGCUAACGCUUUAAGUACCCCGCCUGGGGAGUACGGCCGCAAGGCUAAAACUCAAAGGAAUUGACGGGGCCCCGCACAAGCGGCGGAGCAUGCGGAUUAAUUCGAUGCAACGCGUAGAACCUUACCUGGGUUUGACAUGGAUCGGGAGUGCUCAGAGAUGGGUGUGCCUCUUUUGGGGUCGGUUCACAGGUGGUGCAUGGCUGUCGUCAGCUCGUGUCGUGAGAUGUUGGGUUAAGUCCCGCAACGAGCGCAACCCUUGUUCACUGUUGCCAGCACGUUAUGGUGGGGACUCAGUGGAGACCGCCGGGGUCAACUCGGAGGAAGGUGGGGAUGACGUCAAGUCAUCAUGCCCCUUAUGUCCAGGGCUUCACGCAUGCUACAAUGGCUGGUACAGAGAGUGGCGAGCCUGUGAGGGUGAGCGAAUCUCGGAAAGCCGGUCUCAGUUCGGAUUGGGGUCUGCAACUCGACCUCAUGAAGUCGGAGUCGCUAGUAAUCGCAGAUCAGCAACGCUGCGGUGAAUACGUUCCCGGGGCU